rnacentral:rRNA from 1 species
GUACUAAUAAAGGGUGAAAUCAGUUUUUUAGUAUACAGUAGAGUAAAAACUUUAAUUAUAGCUGAGGCUGUUAAGAUAAAGAGAUGAACCAGGAUUAGAUACCCUGUUACACUUUAUUUGAAUUGUUAUUACCUGGGUACUAAACAGUUAUUAUCUUGAAACUCAAAGGAUUUGGCGGUAACUUAGUCUAUUUAGAGGAACCUGUCCUGUAAUCGAUAGUCCACGAAGAAUCUUACUCUAUUUUGUAGAAAUACAGUUUGUAUACCGUCAUUAUUAGGUAACUUUUAUAAAAGAUAAAGUUACUAAAAUAGUUUUGCUAGUAUAUUAGAUCAAGGUGCAGCUUAUAGUAGAGGAAGAGAUGGGUUACAAUAUAGUAAAAUAAACGGAACAACAAAUGAAUAUUUGUUAUAAAGGUGGAUUUAAAAGUAAGAAGAUUUUAAUAAGAUCUUUUGAUUUUAGCUCUAGGUUAUGUACACAUCGCCCGUCGCUCUCGUUAAUUAAAGC